rnacentral:lncRNA from 1 species
AAUGACCUGAUGGAUGAGACUCCUAACUGCAGAUCACAGCUUUCUCUAUUGUGCAGCAAGGAUAAGCUACUUCCAUAUGUUGGAGGAAGAGGUACAUAAAGGAGCCACUCAUUUCAUUUUUAACAAAGUGGGAUUACACUGAAGGAAGACAUUCUUUGGAUUGUUAAAAGCUUCUAAAAUACAGAACAGAAAACACUAAGAAAAAGAGAUGAAGCUCUCAGUUGGACAUAUAGUUAGGUGAGUAUGUUUGGGGCAUGUAAAAGCAGAAGAAAAAUGGAGUGCAACAGACUUAAAACCACACCCACAAACAUAAAAAGGAAAAAGAAAAGUAAAAUAAACUGUUGAGGAGUAAUUAUGACCUGCUAAUC